UACGGAGGGUGCGAGCGUUGUCCGGAAUCACUGGGCGUAAAGCGCACGUAGGCGGCUUUGCAAGUUAGAGGUGAAAGCCCGGGGCUCAACUCCGGAAUUGCCUUUAAAACUGCAUCGCUAGAAUUGUGGAGAGGUAAGUGGAAUUCCGAGUGUAGAGGUGAAAUUCGUAGAUAUUCGGAAGAACACCAGUGGCGAAGGCGACUUACUGGACACAUAUUGACGCUGAGGUGCGAAAGCGUGGGGAGCAAACAGG
rnacentral:rRNA from 1 species